rnacentral:rRNA from 1 species
GAUGAACGCUGGCGGCGUGCCUAAUAUAUGCAAGUCGAGCGAACGGACGAGAAGCUUGCUUUUCUGAUGUUAGCGGCGGACGGGUGAGUAACACGUGGAUAACCUACCUAUAAGACUGGGAUAACUUCGGGAAACCGGAGCUAAUACCGGAUAAUAUUUUGAACCGCAUGGUUCAAAAGUGAAAGACGGUCUUGCUGUCACUUAUAGAUGGAUCCGCGCUGCAUUAGCUAGUUGGUAAGGUAACGGCUUACCAAGGCAACGAUGCAUAGCCGACCUGAGAGGGUGAUCAGCCACACUGGAACUGAGACACGGUCCAGACUCCUACGGGAGGCAGCAGUAGGGAAUCUUCCGCAAUGGGCGAAAGCCUGACGGAGCAACGCCGCGUGAGUGAUGAAGGUCUUCGGAUCGUAAAACUCUGUUAUUAGGGAAGAACAUAUGUGUAAGUAACUGUGCACAUCUUGACGGUACCUAAUCAGAAAGCCACGGCUAACUACGUG